UGGUGUUUGGGAUGUGAGUGUUGGCAGGCUCCGUGCUUCAAUGCAUCGAACUGCCGACCCUCAGUCCUUUUUCAGUCUCUCCCCCGCGGUCGUCGUGCCCGGGGCGAGCCAUCGGGAUCCUGUUAUGCUUACCUAUUGCCGACGGAAUUCGGUUGUCGUGCCCUCUCUCGUUCGUCUCGCGCCCUUAGGGGCUUCGGGGUGGACUUCGUUCGUGCGCCGUGCUCCGAGUGUGCCCCCGAAUUUGGUGUGGCGGCCUCGGUGCAUCGGUGUUCGAACGUGCUUGCGGAUGCGGAAAUCUCUGUGUGCGCGGG
rnacentral:misc_RNA from 1 species